UCCUUAAUUUAUACAAAAACUAACCAUAAACAACCAAGAAAACUAACCUUGCAUAAGUCGAGUUCUGGCAUGAAGGAAGUGAGGAGGAACUGAGUGGAGAGGAGAUUACAGUUUUGAGGUAAAUGCUUUUAUUAAAAUCAACAAAACAACAAUCAAAAACAAAGUCCAAAUUAAAUAAAGUGCAGUGCUUUCAGAAUCCUUCAAUAAAUAAAUAAUCCCAUAAAAACAGAAGUGAAGUGGAGGUUAAAACAAUGCUGGAAGCAGUCUCUUUAAAAACAAGCCCGGUGCAUUCUUUAAUUG